CCCACAUCAGUCCUUAGACGUUGACUUACUCGCCGCCGGAGAUCUUAGGAAGAACUUAAUUCGGGGACCAAGGAUACUUACACGUAUAUCACUUAAGAGAUUACUACUUUAGUGAAAUGGCCGCGUUGUAUCCGUAUUGGGGUGUUGAAAAAUGUGACUCUCUACUAGUUUCCGCAAGGUGCGCAGAGUGCGGAUGCUUUAAUCGCAAGGUGCACGGUGUUUUCAUCGGAUUCACCCUUCCACCAGCUGCUCUCAUGGCUGCUUUCGACAGAGAAUUAUUUUGGUGAUUACUUUUCUCCUUUCCUUUGUCGCCUUGGUUGGAAAACAUGACCUUUUUUUUAUCUAAUCCACUUAUGGUUGAUCGCUGAAGUGCUUUUUUUUCUGCUCCGCGGAUCCGCCUGUUACG